rnacentral:rRNA from 1 species
CCAAGGGGGGGGCACUAACACAUGCAAGUCGGACGGUAGCACAGAAGAGCUUGCUCUCCGGGUGACGAGUGGCGGACGGGUGAGUAAUGUCUGGGAAACUGCCCGAUGGAGGGGGAUAACUACUGGAAACGGUAGCUAAUACCGCAUAACGUCGCAAGACCAAAGUGGGGGACCUUCGGGCCUCACACCAUCGGAUGUGCCCAGAUGGGAUUAGCUAGUAGGUGGGGUAACGGCUCACCUAGGCGACGAUCCCUAGCUGGUCUGAGAGGAUGACCAGCCACACUGGAACUGAGACACGGUCCAGACUCCUACGGGAGGCAGCAGUGGGGAAUAUUGCACAAUGGGCGCAAGCCUGAUGCAGCCAUGCCGCGUGUAUGAAGAAGGCCUUCGGGUUGUAAAGUACUUUCAGCGGGGAGGAAGGCGGCAAGGUUAAUAACCUUGCCGAUUGACGUUACCCGCAGAAGAAGCACCGGCUAACUCCGUGCCAGCAGCCGCGGUAAUACGGAGGGUGCAAGCGUUAAUCGGAAUUACUGGGCGUAAAGCGCACGCAGGCGGUCUGUUAAGUCAGAUGUGAAAUCCCCGGGCUUAACCUGGGAACUGCAUUUGAAACUGGCAGGCUUGAGUCUCGUAGAGGGGGGUAGAAUUCCAGGUGUAGCGGUGAAAUGCGUAGAGAUCUGGAGGAAUACCGGUGGCGAAGGCGGCCCCCUGGACGAAGACUGACGCUCAGGUGCGAAAGCGUGGGGAGCAAACAGGAUUAGAUACCUUGGGUAGUCCAAAA